rnacentral:rRNA from 1 species
GCCUGCGUAGACGACUGCGCAGCGGUGGGCACCGCCGAGGGCCGCGCGGGGCCCGGGCUCCGACGACGGCACCUCAUCCUCAUCGUUAUCCGGGACGCGAUGCGGAGGGUGUUGGUAGUAGGUAGGGGCUGGGGUCGUGGGUGCGUGCGUGUUCUUUUCGAGGAGGCGGGGCGGCAGGGGGGGAGGGGCGAAUUUUGGAGCCGAGGCUGGCUUGGGUGACGGGGGAGUGUGGGCGGCGCGGGGCUAAGCAGCAGUGGUGAGGGUGGUCUGGCAGUAGGUGGCAGCUGACGACGGGCCGGCCUAAGCUAGACGGUGAUGAUCGCGUCGUGCCGCGGACUGGCUAGCCGGCCGUACCUCUUCUUCGACGGCGACGGCGACGGCGACCGCGUGCCCCUCCCCGACACCCGCGCCGGGACCGCCACCCGGUUCUGGCGGAAGAAGGAGCAGAGGUACGAGCGGAGCGACGAGGAGCAGACGCGCGGCGGCGAGGAGCAGCAGGAGGAGCUGGACGAGGAGGGCGGGCGCGAGGAGAGGUUGAAGGAGGCGCGGAGGAGGCGUGUGUGGGAGGAGCUGGUCCGGUCCCCGAAGGUGAAGGCGAGGAGGGAGCAGCUGGAGGGGCGGCAGAGGCGGCGGGCGAGGGAGGAGUAGGAGACGCGGAUGUGCCGCACGCCGCCUCCGCGCCGGAUGGACACCCACCGCCGCCGGACGUCGCAGCCGAGGGAGAAGAUGCAGGAGCGGUUCCGGCAGCGGCAGAAGCCGCACGGCCGGCUGCCGCGGCGGCCGGAGCUCGACGUGCCGUUCCCGGUCGAGGAGCGGCACCUCCGGUACAAGGAGUACAGCGAGCGCGAGCGGCGGCGCGUGGAGCGGUACCGUAUGGCCCGGUCAUCGGCCCUCUUCGCGGCCGACGUGCAGCAGAUGUCUUAGCUGUAGCUUCGUCACUCAGGGGAGUGGGGGAGGUACGGUUAGAAGCUAGCGUAAUUUGUGGUAGCGGUACUAGUCACACAGUCAUCGUCGGUGGCAGUGUGUGCGGUUUGUUUGUUUGUUGAUUUUAAGUCUAUUUGACCUCGAAACGUUAUGCGGUACGUUCGAGCGUCCUUUCUUAAAAUUAAAAGUUCUAAGGCGUCGUGUUAGGUCCGCGAAGAAACCCACAUAUCAUCAUAUUAAGUAGGUAAGUAGGGUCGCGAAAGCCGGACUGUCGACUAGGUUGAAACUGUGAAACACACGUUUUGCGCGGUCGCAUCACACAUCACAUUAGGCUCCGCGCGGCGCCUUAGAUGAGAUGAUGAAAGGGGUCGGCCGCGUUGACAUGGCUCGUUGUGCUGUCGAGCACGUUGCCCGCCUACCCUCGGACUUUAAGACUUAAUCAGAUGAACGCGGACGAUGGCCCGCGUAUCUAAUUGGGUUGACCAGUCACGACGUGGUGUAAUCGAAUCGACAUGGUAGUUUAAAACUAAUCACUCAUCACACCAACGAGGAUCGAUCGACUGAGGCCCACGAGGUUCCUGCCUGCCUGCCUGCCUCUCUCAGUUUAAGUUUGUCGCGGUUGGGACGAGUUUUAGGCGUGCUUUUGGCCUGCCUCUGUGCCAGGUCGUCGACGACUCUGUGCAAAGCGGUGUGCACCUGCCAGGGUACCAGCUGACUAGACCUGUCACGCCCGGCUGAACAUCUCUAUAGACCUACCUACCAGCGACGCCGGUAGACACGUACGUGUUACCCGAUUUUUACUGGAGUGUUGGCGUUGGUUUUUGGGCCGCACAGUGACAGCGCGUCACACCGGCGGACUACUUGGAAGAAACGAAGGCAGCCUUCGUGUCGAGCUGGCUACCGAGAAAACCGCACUAGAAGCAUCGCCUUCUUAGAGGAGCUGAAGCAGUUUACAAUCGACAGCACUUUCGCUUGUUUUCAAUGUCGACAAAACAAUGACAGAGCAAUGAACAGCCCAAUGAUCAUUUAAUUGAGCCCAACAAACAGUUAACACAUCCAUUCCAAUUUCCCUUGGGUGUGCGGGUUCAGCGACUUCGUUACGUAGCAUACUGUGGGUAGGUAGCAGGCCAGCCUACCCUUACCUAAGACCUCUCCGCUGCCGUCCCCAGAGACGAAGGAGGGGGCCAGAGUUAAAAAACCGAGCUCGUCAUCAAACAGAUGUGAGGCUAACUAGCUAGCUAGGUGUGCUGCGCGGUACACAUAUACAAUGGGCGUGGUUGCAGGGAGAGAGGGUUCACCUGUAUCACACCUCGAGUCGACAUUUAUACCACCCUGUAAACACGAAGCCGGAGGACGUUUUCCCUACUCGGCACGCCGUCUACGCUAACGACAAAAAAGUAGUAGAAGAAGAAGAGAGACAAAAUCAAAGUUAGUGACCUGCAGUGGUACAGACUGUGAGACUGGCUUUGACACUUAACAGUUUUCUUGCUUUAAACCGCCUGACCAUUUUAAUUAGACCCGCGGCCCUUCUUCAAAGUUUGUGCAAAAAGGACGGCAUCUUUGAAGUCCGGUCGCUCAGUUCAUUACUGCGUGCCCUGUUAUCAACCAUUUUCACUGAACUCUCCUCGAAAGGCUAAACGGGUUGCUAGAUCUGGAACUGUUUACCCUUUACCUUCUGAAACUUCUUUUUUUUAACUCUUUUCUUUCUCCUGAAACUAAACAACGAAGACCUUUAGACCCUAUGAAAAGUCGUACCCUUUUCCGGUCGUAUAGUGCUCUCCUACCGACGAUUUGGCUAGACCUAUCACAAGAAAAAGAAAUCGCUUGGGUAGACCUACUACACGAGGAGUCCCCGGCAGUAACGUUGUUUCCGUUUGUAUAAAAUCAUUAAGUUAUAAUGUACAACAUGAUGAGCUUUAAUCUUCUUUUUUUCAUAUGAAAAGUAUUAAUUGCACUAGG